rnacentral:rRNA from 1 species
UACGUAGGGGGCAAGCGUUAUCCGGAUUCACUGGGUGUAAAGGGAGCGUAGACGGCGACGCAAGUCUGGAGUGAAAGCCCGGGGCCCAACCCCGGGACUGCUCUGGGAACUGCGUGGCUGGAGUGCAGGAGGGGCAGGCGGAAUUCCUGGUGUAGCGGUGAAAUGCGUAGAUAUCAGGAGGAACACCGGUGGCGAAGGCGGCCUGCUGGACUGCAACUGACGUUGAGGCCCGAAAGCGUGGGGAGCAAACAGG